rnacentral:tmRNA from 1 species
UGGGUUCUAGCGUCAUUUAGAAAUCUUGCUUUGUAGUUAUGCCUUAGGGCUACAAGGGACUUUAACUAAGACUGGGCCCGUCGGUUAUGUUGCUUCAAGCUAGCACCGGGGCCGAGUAGAACCUUAUUGAAGCUACACCCGUAGAAGAGUCAGAAACUCUGUAUUGGACGGGGGUUCAAUUCCCCCCAUCUCCACUC